GGGCCGUUAGCUCAGUCUGGCAGAGCAGCGGACUCAUAAUCCGUAGGUCGAAGGUUCAAAUCCUUCACGGCCCA
rnacentral:tRNA from 1 species